CAACUCACCCUUCGCAACCCGACCGUGUUGCUACAAGCAGUCAAGCCUGCGUGCCUCUCAGUCGGCCAAAGGUGAAAGGUGAAACGAGCGAAAUCGCUUCUCACCUUGGGGACGAAGACAGUGGAGAGCAGUAUAAAUACCUGACCGGUCCCCGGCGCACGAAAUCAAGAAGCCCCCUUACCUCGAGCAAGAAGCUCACGGCGAGAGAGAAGAGAGCGAGGGAAGGGGAGGAAUGCAUCUCUACAACGCAUGGCUUCCGGCGCCAGUGGCAGAGGAGACGAAGAGGGAGGCGGAGUCCUUCGCGGCCGUGGUGAGAUCCGUGAAGGAAUCGUGGCGGCCGGAUGAUCCCGACUCCGUCUACUCCACCCUCGAGUGGAUCUCCGUCAUCGACCUUUUCUUAAAAGCAAAAAGUGAAGUUUCUCCGGCAGAUGUAAAGGAGAUUGUGGAGUUUGGUUUGGACGUGUUUCAUGCAUCAGAGAACAAGCUUUAUGCUCAGGUUAGAUGGGGAAGUAUCUUAGUCAAGCUUCUGAGGAACCAUGGAAAGAAAUUGAAGAAGUCAAUUAGCAUUCAGUGGAGACCUUUUUAUGACACUUUGAUGCGUACGCACUUUAAAAGAAAUACCGGCCCUGAGGGAUGGAGAUUGAGACAGCAGCAUUUUGAAACUGUCACGUGCCUUAUCCGGUCCUGCCAGAAGUUCUUUCCUGCAGGUUCUGCUUCUGAAAUAUGGUCAGAGUUCAGGGCUUUAAUGGAAAAUCCAUGGCAUAAUUCAACCUUCGAAGGUGCUGGAUUUGUGAGACUGUUUCUACCUAUGAACUUGGAGAAUCGGAACUACUUUACGAGCGAUUGGCUUAAGCAGUGUCUUGAUCUCUGGGAUUCUGUACCAAAUUGCCAAUUUUGGGAUAUUCAGUGGGCUUCUGUCAUUGCACGUUGUAUAAAGAGUUGCAAGUCAAUUGAUUGGGAAGGUUCUUUGCCAGCACUUUUUACACGAUUCUUAAACAUGUUUGAGGUUCCCAUUUCAAAUGAGAAUGGAUCAUAUCCCUUCCCUUUAGUGGUCCCUAGGAAUACAAGGUUCUUGUUUUCCAGCAAGACAGGCGCACCUGCUGAGGCUAUAGCAAAGUCAAUUGUGCAUCUCUUAAAGCCUGGUAGUUUGGCUCAAGAGUACUUCGAGAGAUUGGCAAAAUUAUUAGAACAAUAUUACCAUCCUUCUAAUGGAGGUCGCUGGACCUACUCAUUGGAGCGUUUCUUGUGGCACUUGGUGAUUAGCUUCCAAAAGCGCCUUCAGGAUGAGCAGCUUAAGACAAGUGAAAGCAAACAGGUUGAUUCGUGUUUGGGAAAUCUAGAAAGGGCUGCUUUUGUCAAAGUGGUACUGAAAUUAAUUGAUCGUGGUCAGUAUAGUAAAAGUAAAUCCCUUUCGAAAACAGUUGCUGUUGCAACUUCAAUUUUGUCAUAUGUGGAGCCCUCUUUGGUCCUUCCAUUUGUUGCAUCCAGAUUUCAACUGGCCUUAGAGACUAUGACAGCUACUCACCAGUUGAAAACUGCUGUCACAUCAGUGGCAUUUGCUGGCCGUUCACUUUUUCUUGCUUCUUUUUCUGCUCCCCCUCAAACUGAUGACUGUGAUACUGCUGAUGCUUACAUGGAUCUUAUAGUAGUAUCUCUUUCGAAUGCAUUGCUUGGUAUGGAUGCUAAUGAUCCGCCAAAGACCUUAGCAACCAUGCAAUUAAUUGGUUCUAUUUUUUCCAAUCUAGCUAUGGUGGGUGGUAGUGAUGAUGGGCCUGCAUUCCUGCAAACCAUCCAUUUAUCGGAAUGGCUAGAUGAGUUCUUUUGUCGCUUAUUUACUCUGCUUCAACAUUUGGAACCAAGUAGUGUCGUGAGUGAGGGCAUCCAGACAUCAUUAAGAUCAGGAACGUUUCUUGUUAAGGGCAGUUCAUUCUAUUUCUGCAUGCUGGAAAUCCUGCUUGGGAAAUUGUCUGCACCUUUAUUUAAUCAGUCACUAAAGAAGAUUUCAAAGUUCGUCCACACAAAUAUCCUUCCUGGGGCUACUGUAGAGGUUGGACUUCUUUGUUGUGCCUGUGUUCAUUCUAAUCCAGAAGAGGCAGCAAUCCACCUUAUUAAACCAAUCCUAAUAGGUAUAACCACCUCAUUAAGAGAAAUGCCAGCUACAGCUUUUGGUGGAGGAUCUUCUGGUGCAUCAUCUUCUACCAAGGCUACACUUUCACCAGCCCUGGAAACAGCAGUUGAGUACCAUCUAAAAGUUUUGGCAAUAGCCAUCAGUUAUGGGGGUCCUGUGUUGCUUCAUUACAGGGAUGAACUGAAAGAUGCAAUUGCAUCAGCAUUUCGGGCCUUGUCAUGGAAGGUCAAUGGAGCUGGUGAUCAUGUCCUUCGCUCUCUCCUUGGAAGCCUGGUCCUCUUUUACCCCAUCAACCAGUACAAGCCUUUCUCUUGUCAGCAAGUUUCUUCUGUUUUGGAAGACUGGGUUUGCUCGAAAGAUUAUGGGAAUGGGAUAAAAAAGGAGAGCAAUUAUCUCCCCGAGUGGCACAUUCCUAGUCAAGAUGAACUCUCUUUUGCAAAUGAGCUUUUAGAUCUUCAUUUUCAAUCCGCUUUGGAUGAUCUGCUCAGAAUAUGUCAGACUAAGAUGCAUUAUGAGGCACGCAAUGAGAAGGAACACUUGAAGGUGACGUUUUUGCGCAUUUACUCUUCAUUGCGAGGCAUGAUGUCAUGCUUGCCGGAUAUGCGUCCAUCAUAUAGGAACAUAGGCACUGAAGAUAUCAAUCAUGGUAACUUUUUAAUUGCGGGAGCAGUUGGCUUGUCUGUUGGUAGUUCCGAAAUGAGGGAAAGAGCUGCUCAGCAUAUACAUGUAGCUUGCAAAUAUUUACUGAAAGAAAGAACCGAUGAUAGCAUACUUCUAAUACUUACCAUUCAUGUUAUGGAUGCUUUAGCAAAUUUUGGAAGCUUGGAAUAUGAAGAAUGGUCGAAUCAUAUUCAGGCAUGGAAGUUGGAAUCUGCUGCUUUAAUUGAGCCUCCAUGCAAUUUUAUUGUUUUUCCUCAUGCCCAAGGAAAGAAAAGGCCCAGAUGGGCACUCAUUGACAAGGCAUACGUGCAUAAUACAUGGAGAUCUUCACAAUCGUCAUAUCAUCAAUUUCGUACAGAUAGCAACAUCUCUCCUUCAGAGCAUGUGACUGUUCUUAUGGAGGAUCUUCUAGAUCUCUCUCUGCACAACUAUGAAACGGUUCGCUUGCUUGCUGGAAGAUCUCUUUCAAAGUUGCUCAAACGGUGGCCGGUAUUGAUUUCUAAGUGUGUUCUCACCCUAACUGGGAACUUGCAUGAUCCCAAAACACAAGAGCAUGCAAUCCUAGGCUCUUGCACGAUACUUGCAACACAAACUGUUCUCCGUCAUGUUACAACAGAUGCAGUUUCAUUCUCUUCAUUUGUCAUGGGUCUUUUAGCAAGCUCUCAUCAUGAAUCACUGAAAGCUCAGAAAGCUAUUACUGAGCUGUUUGUUACAUACAACAUCCACUUUUCUGGUAUAUCAAGGAGUUUUUUCGAGACUUCAGAUGGCCAGCUGGACAGGCCAGAAUUUGUAGAUUUGCAUUCUCAGAUAAGUUCCUUGAGCUUCAACACAACUGGCCUGCACUGGAGGUAUAAUUUGAUGGCUAACAGAGUACUACUUUUGUUAACUUUGGCUUCUAGAAGUGAUUCACCAUUAUCCGCCAAGAUUCUUGGGGAAACUGCAGGACAUUUUUUAAGAAAUUUGAAAAGUCAACUUCCUCAGUCGAGAAUACUUGCAAUCUCUGCUCUGAACACUCUAUUAGAGGGAGCACCACAUAAAAUCUCCAGUCAGGAACAGCAACUUUGCUAUGAUUAUCUCAAAGAAAAUAAAGAGUCAUCUGUUGGAGGAAUUCUGAAUCAGAUAUUAAGGGAGGAGGGAUUCUUCAAUGAGACUCUAAACAGUCUCUCCCAUGUCCACAUAAUUGCUGAUGGUGAGAGUUCAGCUUCUAAACGCUAUCGAGGAGCGUCAUCCUUUCAGAGCCCAGCUGAUAAAGAAAUUACGUUUUUCUAUUUUGACUUCUUAGCAUCAUGGCCACGUACCUCUAGUAGGAUAUCUCUAGUGGGAAGAAACACCUUUUACUCUAACUUUGCAAGGAUUUUUAAACGUCUCGUACAGGAAUGUGGAACACCAGUUCUAGAUGCUCUACAGGACAUACUCAAAGAAUUUUGUAGUGCGAAAGAGAGAUCAAAGCAAUGUGUGGCUGCUGAAGUCAUGGCUGGCAUGCUUCAUUCUGAUAUAAAUGGCCUACUGGAAGCCUGGGACAAUUGGAUGAUGCUUGAGCUGCAGAAGAUCAUGGUGACACCAUCAGUGGAGUCAAUUCCUGAAUGGGCAGCUUGCAUACGAUAUGCAGUUACAGGAAAAGGAAAAUAUGGCAUGCAAAUUCCUCUUCUGAGGCAAAGAAUCUUAGACUGCUUGGCAAGACCUUUGCCUCAAACCAUGGCGAGCAAUGUGGUGGCCAGGAGGUAUUCUUUCCUUUCAGUUGCACUUGUUGAAAUCUGUCCGCCUAGAAUGCCUAUUGCAGAGGUUCGAUACCAUGAUAAGCUUCUGGAAGAGUUGUUGGAUAAAAUGAGUCAUCCAUCUGCCCAAGUUAGAGAAUCUAUUGCUACGACGCUUGCUGUUGUAUGUUCCAACAAGCGGCUUUUUGCAACACGGGGACAUAGAUGUUUACAAGAGGCAGAAGGGGACAUUGACAUGGUUGAGCCACAGAAGGAAAAUUGGGCUAAGUUUCUAACAAAGAGAGCUUUUGAAUUAGCUAGAAAUAUACAAAAUGCAAAGCAAUCUGACAAAAUAGAUUCGAUGGUAGAUUUGAUUCAUGAAAAUGGGUUCGCAAGUUCAGAGGAUGAAACAGAUGUUAAGAGGAUGGAAACGAUGUUCCAUUUCAUAAUAUCAUCUUUGAAAUCUGGAAGAUCUUCUGUUUUGUUGGACAUAGUUGUUGGACUCAUUUAUCCUGUUAUUUCAUUGCAGGAAAUGUCAAAUAAAGACCUGUCAACAUUAGCUAAGACUGCUUUUGGAUUACUAAAAUGGAGGAUAUUACCUCGGCCGUUCUUAGAAAAUGCUGUCUUAGUGAUCCUUUCUUCAGUCAAUGAUCCUAAUUGGCGAACCAGAUCUGCAGCUCUCACAUAUCUUUAUACGUUUAUGUACAGGCACACAUUCAUUCUCUCAGCUUCCGAGAAAUUAGAAAUCUGGAAAAGUAUCGAGAAGCUACUUGUUGACAACCAAGUUGAGGGAGCAUGCUGCCAGGGUUCUUGCAAGCUUAAUGAAGGGUGGAGAUGAAGAUUUGUCAAGGACUUUUCGUGACCAAUCAUUUGCAGAAGCACAAUCAAUUCUCAGGAAACGAAAGCAAAGAAAUUUGGUUUCUGGUCAAUCUAUAGCUACCACACAUGGGGCUGUCCUUGCUUUGGCUGCUUCUGUUCUUUCUGUUCCCUAUGACAUGCCCAGCUGGCUUCCGGAUCAUGUAACAUUGCUUGCUCGGUUCAUUGGGGAGCCUUCUCCAGUCAGAUCCACGGUUACAAAAGUAGUUGCAGAGUUCCGCCGUACUCAUGCAGAUACUUGGUGCAUCCACAAGGAUGCUUUUACUGAAGAGCAACUGGAGGUUCUUGCAGACACGUCAUCUUCUUUUUCAUACUUUGCUUAAUUUUAUUGUAGGCGGUAAAAGUUACAUUGCAAAUUGUUAUUAAAUGGAAAAGAGAGAUCAAUAUCAUUAUCUUGUCAUAGUCUACAGAAUAAAGCUUUCUGUUGUUAUGCUGUCUUACAGACUAAAGAUCCUGUACCAAUAACUCAUUUCAAUUAAGUGAUCUUGUCUUACCAAAAAAAAAAAAUUUAAGUGAUCUUGAGUUCUGCCACUCUUUUUUACGCAAUGGGAUUCAUCAAAUCAUCAGAUUAAGUCCCACAAAACGCCGUCUCAACUGAAAAUGCUGCAAUCCCCUUUUCAGCGUUUCCACCCCAAGUCUCUUCUUCACCAUCGUCCUCGCCUUUCUUAUGCAUCUUGCUAUCCUGCUGCUCUGCUGCAUCACCACUGCAGGUGCCCCCGGUGCACAAGCUCUGGUU